UAGGGAAUCUUCCACAAUGGACGCAAGUCUGAUGGAGCAACGCCGCGUGAGUGAAGAAGGUUUUCGGACCGUAAAGCCCUGUUGUUGGUGAAGAAGGAUAGAGGUAGUAACUGGCCUUUAUUUGACGGUAAUCAACCAGAAAGUCACGGCUAACUACGUGCCAGCAGCCGCGGUAAUACGUAGGUGGCAAGCGUUGUCCGGAUUUAUUGGGCGUAAAGCGAGCGCAGGCGGAAGAAUAAGUCUGAUGUGAAAGCCCUCGGCUUAACCGAGGAAUUGCAUCGGAAACUGUUUUCUUGAGUGCAGAAGAGGAGAGUAGAACUCCAUGUGUAGCGGUGGAAUGCGUAGAUAUAUGGAAGAAUACCAGUGGCGAAGGCGGCUCUCUGGUCUGCAACUGACGCUGAGGCUCGAAAGCAUGGGUAGCGAACAGGAUUAGAUACCCUGGUAGUCCAUGCCGUAAACGAUGAGUGCUAAGUGUUGGGAGGCUUCCGCCUCUCAGUGCUGCAGCUAACGCAUUAAGCACUCCGCCUGGGGGAGUACGACCGC
rnacentral:rRNA from 1 species